rnacentral:rRNA from 2 species
GGUUCUCCCCGAAAGCUAUUUAGGUAGCGCCUCGUGAACUCAUCUCCGGGGGUAGAGCACUGUUUCGGCUAGGGGGCCAUCCCGGCUUACCAACCCGAUGCAAACUGCGAAUACCGGAGAAUGUUAUCACGGGAGACACACGGCGGGUGCUAACGUCCGUCGUGAAGAGGGAAACAACCCAGACCGCCAGCUAAGGUCCCAAAGUCAUGGUUAAGUGGGAAACGAUGUGGGAAGGCCCAGACAGCCAGGAUGUUGGCUUAGAAGCAGCCAUCAUUUAAAGAAAGCGUAAUAGCUCACUGGUCGAGUCGGCCUGCGCGGAAGAUGUAACGGGGCUAAACCAUG